rnacentral:rRNA from 1 species
AGUGAACGCUGGCGGUAGGCCUAACACAUGCAAGUCGAACGGCAGCACAGAGGAGCUUGCUCCUUGGGUGGCGAGUGGCGGACGGGUGAGGAAUACAUCGGAAUCUACUCUGUCGUGGGGGAUAACGUAGGGAAACUUACGCUAAUACCGCAUACGACCUACGGGUGAAAGCAGGGGAUCUUAGGACCUUGCGCGAUUGAAUGAGCCGAUGUCGGAUUAGCUAGUUGGCGGGGUAAAGGCCCACCAAGGCGACGAUCCGUAGCUGGUCUGAGAGGAGGAUCAGCCACACUGGAACUGAGACACGGUCCAGACUCCUGCGGGGGGGAGCAGGGGGGAAUGGUGGGCAAUGGGCGCAAGCCUGAUCCAGCCAUACCGCGUGGGUGAAGAAGUCCUUCGGGUUGUAAAGCCCUUUUGUUGGGAAAGAAAUCCAUCUGGUUAAUACCCGGGUGGGAUGACGGUACCCAAAGAAUAAGCACCGGCUAACUUCGUGCCAGCCGCCGCAGUAA